GUGUCCCGAGACCGUCCCUUGACCCCUGUCUCCUUCUCAGGCGUUGGAGGGGGCGUGAAGCCCCAGAAGCUGGGUGAGCCUCACCCUACCUGUCCCUCCCGGCUCUGUGCCCCUUUCCCUCACUCUCCCUGACCCCGCCUGCCCUGUCUCCCCAGGUGUCUCUCCAGGGUUUAGGAACGGGAACGGGCUGGGAGUCGGGACCCUCCCGGGUGCUGCUGCCCAGCCAGGGUACGGAAACGCGCUGGGAGCUGGUGCCUUCCCGGGGCUGGGAGCCCAGCCAGGAUUCGGGGCUCGAAAUGGUGUCGGCGCUGGGGCUUUUCCGGGAGCAGGAAUUGGAGGGGGCGUGAAACCUCAGAAGCCAGGACUCAGCGCUGGGAAUGGGCUGGGGGCUGGGGCCUUCCCCGCAGCUGGAGCCCAGCCAGGUCUCGCAGCUCCAAAUGGCUUUGGACCAGGCUUUGGAGGGGUCGGGAAACCCCAGAAGCCAGGCCUUGGAGCAGGAGGGCUGAAACCUCAGAAGCCAGGCUUUGGAGGGGGUGUGCAAACUCAGAAGCCAGGAUUUGGGAAUGGAAACGGACUGGGAGCUCAGCCAGGCCCAGCAACACCGCAGGGAUAUGGAGCAGGCUACGGUAAUGGAAACGGACUGGGAGCCAGGCCGGGUGAAGGUAGCUGGGCCCGGGGCCUCAGGGGGUGGGGGUGAGAAGGGACGUGAGAGGUGGGGGCCGCAG
rnacentral:lncRNA from 1 species